UGGGGAAUAUUGCGCAAUGGACGAAAGUCUGACGCAGCGACGCCGCGUGUGGGAUGACGGUCUUCGGAUUGUAAACCACUGUCGGGAGGGACGAAUACGCCGCAAGGCGGGUGACGGUACCUCCAAAGGAAGCACCGGCUAACUCCGUGCCAGCAGCCGCGGUAAUACGGAGGGUGCGAGCGUUGUCCGGAAUCACUGGGCGUAAAGGGCGCGUAGGCGGCCUGAUAAGUAGGGGGUGAAAUCCUGCGGCUUAACCGCAGGGCUGCCUUCUAAACUGUCGGGCUCGAGCACAGUAGAGGCAGGUGGAAUUCCCGGUGUAGCGGUGGAAUGCGUAGAGAUCGGGAAGAACAUCAGUGGCGAAGGCGGCCUGCUGGGCUGUGCUGACGCUGAGGCGCGACAGCGUGGGGAGCAAACAGGAUUAGAUACCCUGGUAGUCCACGCCGUAAACGAUGGGCACUAGGCGU
rnacentral:rRNA from 1 species